rnacentral:lncRNA from 1 species
GGACAACCUGAAAGCCCCUGCUGUGGCACACAGGGCGUCAGAAACUGACCUAAAUCUCGAAGGCUGUGGUUCUCACAUUCGUUGCACAUUAAAAUUACCCGAGGAGCUUUUCAAACAUCUCUGUGCCUGAAUUCCACCCCCAGAGAUUUAUUUAACUGUUGGAGAGGGGAUGGGAAGAGGUUAGGUGCGGAUAUUUUUUAAAAGCUUCCCCAAGUGAUUCUGUUCAGCCAUGACUGAGAACUACCAUCCUAGGGCAUCUGCCUGUAUUCUUUAGCAAACUUGCUCACAGAAGGGGGAGAAAUUACCAAACUCCUGAGAAUCCUCAUCCUGACCCUCACCAGAUGACAGUGCCAUGCUUUUGGACUUCCCAACCUCCAGAAAUAUGAUAUCUGUAAAUACACAAGUACAGCAGCCAUGGCUUGGGAAGGGCAUAGUGAACAGGAGCUCGUACUGCUCAGAAAUAAGGAUCUGGAUCACAGCAUCAGCAAGGACUAAGAGACACCCCUAAGGAAGAAAAGUAGUAGUAGUGGCUUGGAACCAGGACCCACAAUAUCUCCAAGGAUGCCGGUAUAUCCCACUUCAUUUCAAUGACCCACUUACUGAGUUACAUUCCAUACUACAUUAUCAAUGCCUCCAAGUCAGAGACUAUGUCUUACUUUUGUUUGUAUGUCUAGUUGCUAGAAUAGUUCUGAGUGCACAGUAGGUGAUGAGGUUUAUUUUGAUGUUGAACAAAUAUGUACAACCUGCAAAGAUAUUUUUACUCAGUGCUUUAUCCAUUCAGAUUUUGCCCUCAUGAAUCAAAACUGUAGUUAUAAAUAUAAAUAAAUGUAUAAAUGCA